ACAGGGAAAGUUGCAGAAGAUUUGCUUUGACCUCAAAGUACAUUCUUUGUUUCCCUGGUGAUAAAGACCUCAGUCAUAGGACAACUGGGUAAACUGAAGUAGCCAAUUCUGCAAAGGAAGGUGGACUUUGCUUUCCAGUUCAGGAUCUUUUAUUACUGGUACUAUUAAGGCAAUCUUGGCAAAGUCUCAUUCAUAUUUAUUUAUGAACUGUGUUCUUGGCUAGAUAAGAGGGUACACUGUCACAAGGCAAGGCAGCAGCACUCCUUUUAUGACAUCAGAGAGGUCUUUGCCAAUGGCUCUGUUGCAUGCUUACGUAAUGUAAAAUAGUAGGCACAUAGUUGAAUGAAGGCUCAGGCGGAGAGGAUCACUUUUCAAAGAUUGUAAAAGAAGUUACGUGGAUAGUGUGUGUUAUGCAGCAAGGAAAGGAAUGGAAAAUCAGAAGACGUGUUUAGAUCACACAAACCAGAGGUGAAAGCUGAAUCUGAGAGGCUUCUGUUUCCAGCAAUAAGGCCAAUAAUACCCCAAGCUCCUGACUGAAACCAAACACUCUGGAGGGACACUCUCACAUGCAGGCCAGAAGGAAUUUGAAUAGAAGGAAACAGGCUAAAGAAGAGAGCUCAUGGCAAAAAUUACAAACCAUACAAGGAAGGCAUUCACCACAGUGAGAGUGAGUAAAAACAGCAGAAUUACAACCUAAAACUUGAGAUAAUAUGACGACAGUCUGAAGCAGAAUAUAACAGAAGUAUGCUUAAACUAAGUAAGACGUGAAAGAAUUGAAACCCUAAAAAGGAAUAAGAAAAUAUGAAAAAAAAGAGAAACAUGCAGGCACAUUGGAUAAAGGAGAAUAGGAAAAACAAUAGCAGAUAAAAAGUUUUAAAUUGACAAAGAACAGAUUAAGCAGCUAAAUAAUUGAUGAACUGAAAGCUCUACCUGGGGAUAUUAGACAGCGUAUUGCACUGGGAAAUUGUGACAUGGAGAAAGGGAAAUUGAUUAAGAUUUAAGAAACAUGGAAGGUAGAAUUAGAAGGUCCCUGCACCCCUAAUAGGCAGUACAAAAGAACAGAACAGAAAAAAUGGGAGAGAUAUAGUCUUGAAAAUUCUUGUAAUAAUUUUCCAGAAGUGGCAAAAUGUAUAAAUUCAUCAAAUCAAGAACCACAUCAUUUUCAAGAAGGAUAAAUAAAAAUAAAUCUACACCUAAAUACAUCACAGUGAAGCUGUGGAGCUUAAAAUCUUAAAAGCAAACACAGAAGUUACUUAACUAAGAAAGCCACAACUAUUAGACAAAAACAAAAAACUUUUCAAUAGCAAAAAUAGAGAGGAGAAAGUAGCGAAAGAAUGUAUUUAAAGGGCUAAGGAAAAGUAACUGUCAACCUAGUUUAUACUCAGCUAAAUUGUUAUUUAAGAACCUGUUUGAAACAAUGACUAAAAACUUUUUUACUCAAAGACCCUUGCUAAAGAGAACUAGUAAAUGAUGUGCUCCAUAAAAAAGGUAAUAAAAUUCAUGAAGGAGUGGGAUAAAGGAAGCAGUGAUGAGCAACCACAUUUAUAAACAUUGGUAUCUAACUAAGCAUUGCAAUGACAAUAGACAGAUUUGAAAAUAUAAAAACAGGAUGGAAUGAAAACACUAGAAAAGAAUAGAAAGUUAAAAAAAUCAAGUUUGGAGUUAAAGCAUUUUAAAAUCCUUUUAAUUGUGAGAAAAAAGGUAAAAUAUUGAUUUAGUUUAGGCAUUGUUAUAUUGACAAUUCACGUUAAAAGUUCAAAACACUACUAAAGGAAGAGAAAUAGAAUAUAUAACUUUUAAACCACAGACAGCUGAUGGAUUAAAAAACUGUCAAUUAAAUAGAAUCCUAAGAAGAAGGAAAAAAGUAUGCUAAAUAGAAAGAAUAAGAUGGUAGAAAUCAAUCCAAAUAUAUUCAUAAUCAUAAUAAAUGUAAAUGAUCUAAACUCACGAAUUAAAAGAACAUAUUCAAACGAAUUUUUAAAAUAUCAGCUCUGCUGCUUAUAAAAAUACACUCAAAAUACAACACAGAAAAAAAGUGAGAGAAAAAUUAUUCCAAGAAAACAAUAACCAAAAGAAAGCUGGUAUAGCUACAAUUCAUCUGACAAAAUGUCUUUAAGUAAAAUUUAAAAUAUAUUUAUUAGGAAAAAAGCACACAAGAUACAAAAAUUCUAAAC
rnacentral:lncRNA from 1 species